UUUGCCUACGGGAGGCAGCAGUAGGGAAUCUUCCACAAUGGGCGAAAGCCUGAUGGAGCAACGCCGCGUGGGUGAAGAAGGUCUUCGGAUCGUAAAACCCUGUUGUUAGAGAAGAAAGUGCGUGAGAGUAACUGUUCACGUUUCGACGGUAUCUAACCAGAAAGCCACGGCUAACUACGUGCCAGCAGCCGCGGUAAUACGUAGGUGGCAAGCGUUAUCCGGAUCUACUGGGAGUAAAGGGAGCGUAGACGGCAAUACAAGUCGGAAGUGAAAU
rnacentral:rRNA from 1 species